rnacentral:rRNA from 1 species
AACGAACGCUGGCGGCAGGCUUAACACAUGCAAGUCGAGCGCCCCGCAAGGGGAGCGGCAGACGGGUGAGUAACGCGUGGGAACGUACCUUUUGGUUCGGAACAACUCCGGGAAACUGGAGCUAAUACCGGAUAAGCCCUAACGGGGAAAGAUUUAUCGCCGAAAGGUCGGCCCGCGUCUGAUUAGCUAGUUGGUGAGGUAACGGCGCACCAAGGCGACGAUCAGUAGCUGGUCUGAGAGGAUGAUCAGCCACACUGGGACUGAGACACGGCCCAGACUCCUACGGGAGGCAGCAGUGGGGAAUAUUGGACAAUGGGCGCAAGCCUGAUCCAGCCAUGCCGCGUGAGUGAUGAAGGCCUUAGGGUUGUAAAGCUCUUUUGUCCGGGAAGAUAAUGACUGUACCGGAAGAAUAAGCCCCGGCUAACUUCGUG